UUGUCGGAAUUAUUGGGCGUAAAGCGCGCGCAGGUGGUUCCUUAAGUCUGAUGUGAAAGCCCACGGCUCAACCGUGGAGGGUCAUUGGAAACUGGGGAACUUGAGUGCAGAAGAGGAAAGUGGAAUUCCAAGUGUAGCGGUGAAAUGCGUACAGAUUUGGAGGAACACCACCUGGCGAAGGCGACUUUCUGGUCUGUAACUGACACUGAAGCAAUGAAAGCGUGGGGAGCAAACAGGACCAGAUACUUCUGACACUUCACGAAGCAAACGAUAUGAGCGGCGUGACAGUGACUUAUACACCCCCUAUACUCUCUUACACGGAACUAAACAAAGACCAAGAGCACCUGCUGUCACUCUUGUACCCAAUAAAGGCAUUGUCGGCGACCACUGCCUUACCGGCCUAAAGUUCUGUUGAGGUAAGGCACCAGUAGGGAAUCUGCAGAGCAGGACCAAAGGCUGACACCCAAGGACCAAAGCUCCCACCUCUAGGUGACGUACCAGCAGCCGGUGCCUUGCUNAGGUGGUAAGCGUUGGUCCCGAAUUAAUGGACCGUAUACCCCGCUUCGGGCGGGACCCCUAAUCAUUGUUGUUGAAAUUCCACCCCUACAGCCGUACAUGCCCAACCGGAAAAAGGUAAAAACUUUAACGCCCAAUCAUAAAAAGCGGGAAAACCUUGUUACACUUGUACAAUUCCGUCUGUUAAAAUGGGUGGGAACCCCCCGGGGGUAAUCGAAACCCCCGAUUUGGUUCCCCAAACUUUUCCCCCCCCGCAAGUGGUCAAUUUGACGGGAACCAAAAAAAAGNGCCCUUUUCCCCCCCCGUGGGGUGUUCCCUCCCCGAUUUUU
rnacentral:rRNA from 1 species